GGAAACCAUGGUAACAUCAGUGCUUCUGUUGAGCACAGUGGUCACUCAAAAGAGGCAGAGUGAGUUCAGCCUAUCAUUUGAGAUCCGAGUAUGAUUGGGGAAAUAUCCUGAAAUAGUCUAUGAUUUGAAGAAAUGGAUAGAUGGCUAGAAUAACAUGCUAGAUGGUAGUCAAGUUACUAACUGCAGAAUUGAUUUGAUAAAAUUCUCAUCGUGUCUCCUGACUUAGGAGAAAUAUUGGGUCUGAUGAAUGGGUAAAAUUCCCAGGUGAAAAGAAUUUGGUCUGUAAGAUUUGGCAGCACCCUGAGGUUUGCCAUAUCUGAUGGCCUGGCUUUAGUGGCAGCACCUAGUGAAGGCCCAGGUGUCCUUCUGACAACCUUUACCACCUACCGUUUUGUCCUUACUUAUGUUGAAUCACUACACACAGGCUGUUGAAUUCAGCUGUCUGUGGAGAAAUUAUACCAACCACAUGGUUAGACAGAAGGAAUACAAUAUAUUGCUUAAUUUGUAUCUGAAAGCUAAGCAACAUGGAAAAAAAUCAAGCAUGCUCAGUCACUUCCAUGAGGACAAACGAAGACACUUCAAGGAGGACAUUGACAUGGAUCUGCCAGCUUUCUAAGACUUUCCCCAGAUUCAAGUCCAGUCACAUCAAGUUGCCUUAUUAAAGGGUCUGCCCACUCAAAAGGAGAAAGUGCAAAAGAUGCUCAGCAAGGGUAGCAAACGCAGUCAGAUGAUACUUCCUGACAGCAUCCAAGAGCAAGUCUCACCACCACAUCUGUCAAUAAAAAAGAAAACAAGGAGCUGCCAAUUUGUCUAUUUAUAGGUGCCAAUAAAAUCCUGCACAGAACUUUAGUCAACAAGACUAUUUCAGAAGGGGUGGCCAACAGUGUGGCCUUUCACUGGCAAGGGCCACCUUUGUCAUCACUUAAGAAAGAAAACCUGCCAAGUUUUCUGUGAGGCCCUCAAUAAAUCUUACUGAGUAUUUCCAUACACAUCAGCCACCUUAACUUGAGGAAAGCCAACUUGUGGCCAGAUCCUUCACAAACACCUGGAAACUAGUGUGGCUUCUGGUUCUAGCCAUUCGGUAACAGCUCUGAGGCUGAAUAAAUUGGACGUGAGAAUGUGACAGUGAAAGACGGCUUGGGAACACCCAGGGUCUGAAUAAAGCUUAGAAAAUACACCACACCUUUAUAGAAAAAGUAGAUUUCUGUUUUAUAAGGGAAAGAUUGGCAGGAGUUCCAGGCCAGCUGCCCCCAAGAAAGAGGUAACUAUUUAAGCCAAUAAGGUUUCCAUCUACACAAGUGCUCAAGUGGAAACCAGCCAACCAGAGUUA
rnacentral:lncRNA from 1 species